UUUGCCCUCAACUCAGUCAAUAACAGGCGGAGUUUGAAAGAAUAAAGAGAUGGAGGGAACGCAUCAUAACCUGGUAUGACCUGGAUCAACAUAAACAAAGGGGUUUAGAUAGCUCAUGGUUCUGCUGGUUAGGAAGUUCAAGCGCAAGGCCCUGACUUCUGGUAAGUGCUUUCAUGCUGCAUCAACACGACUAAGAAGGUCAAAGAAGAAGUGGACAUGACUCUGGGACCUAACAUGAAAAAGAGGCUGCUAUAUCAGAUAUUCGUUUCUAGUUGAAUAGGGAAAAGAGCAAGAGAGCAGGCAGAAAAUACACAAUGCUUCAACACUAUUAUGUACAGACAAGGUGUACAUAAUGUCCAUCCACACACCAUUGGCCAAAGCAAGUCUCUUGGAUAAACAAAAUGUCAAUGAGGCAACCGUGUAUGCUCACCCACAGGAGAAGCUGCAAAUGACAUGACAACUUGACUUACAUAGGAAUGAAGGGCAGAGUAAUACUUGGGAACAGUAUUUCAAUCUGUGGAUACAGAGAGAGAGAUCUGAACAUGUGACUACCAAAAAGGUACAGGGAUUAGUUCUGG
rnacentral:lncRNA from 10 species